AACGCGAAGAACCUUACCAAGGCUUGACAUGCAGGGAAAAGCCGUAGAGACACGGUGUCCGUAAGGGUCCUGCACAGGUGGUGCAUGGCUGUCGUCAGCUCGUGUCGUGAGAUGUUGGGUUAAGUCCCGCAACGAGCGCAACCCUUAUCCUAUGUUGCCAGCGGAUUAUGCCGGGGACUCAUGGGAGACUGCCGGGGUCAACUCGGAGGAAGGUGGGGAUGAGGUCAAGUCAUCAUGCCCCUUAUGUCUUGGGCUGCAAACAUGCUACAAUGGCCGGUACAGAGGGCUGCGAGACCGCAAGGUGGAGCGAAUCUCAAAAAGCCGGUCUCAGUUCGGAUUGGGGUCUGCAACUCGACCCCAUGAAGUCGGAGUCGCUAGUAAUCGCGAAUCAGCAACGUCGCGGUGAAUACGUUCCCGGGCCUUGUA
rnacentral:rRNA from 1 species